CACAGAGCAGAUAACGCAUGAGUUUCUAUAAACACCCCAAGUUGUGUUUAGUCUACAAAAACGUCAUUUUAUUUUGCUCAUUAAGAAAACAAGAAAUUUGUCACGGACCGGGUUCCAGGGACUCGGGGUCCGUGAGGAGUGUGGACUACUACUAUCAUUAUUAUUAUUAUGGUUGUUGUUUGAGGGUUGUGUCUUCUGCAUUGCUGCUGUCCUGUGUUCCGUGUUUGUGUACUGUCAGGUGUGUAUGGGUGUGUGCGUGUGUGUGAGGGUGCGGUCGUGGCAGGCACUUUCAGGCCUUGUGGGUGUGACCCUGCCAGCUGACCGGUCACACCCAGGAAUCUCCACACACACCUGGCGCCAAUCAAGCUUCAUCAGAGGAGCUUCAAAACAGUGUGGCCGAGAGCUCCUCGACGCUUGAUCGUUGAGUGACUUCCCGAGGAAUUGUGGUGACCAGGAGGCAGCACACGGACAGUACACAGGGAACAGAGACAGAGCACGGAGCACGGGAUAAGGGAGAAGACACGGAACGGGAGUCGGGAUCGCACUGGGGAUUUAUUGUUGUUUAGAUUUACACCACUGUAAAUAAACGCACUUCCUUCAUCAUCAA